AGUGACAUAAUCCCGGAGGUGAAAAAUAAAAAUUAUCCAUGGUUGGAAUGGAACGUCAUAAUUCUGUCAGUCAUCCCGAUGACUAUUCUUUUCUGCAGAACAUAAGAGGGAAACCAGAGUCUCUCCCAAGAAAACUGCCCUUUGAGUUCAUGCCCUCAGGGAAGAUCUUUGAUGCAUUCUGCUCCCUUGUUGUGCCUUCUCUUCAUUACAAAUAGCCUUUCAUGAAGCUUACAAGAAGGGACAGGAGCCCCAGCACCCAAUGAGCACCCACCUGGGUCACAAAAAUGAUAGCGUGUGAGUACAGUUCAUGCGGGGUCAGCUGUCUCAGAAAAUGACACUUACUCAGUGGACUUGGCAAUGCGAUCCCUAUUGGUAAUGCCUUUGCUAUCACACGCUGAGGUUCCAGAGCAGAAAAAUGCACAUGGCUUCCUGGGAGAUCCUAUCGUUUGAGUUUGACAGCUUUCUGCACAGGCAGGGUGUUCCUCAGAAUUAGAAUGCCAACUGUCGUGCUCUAUCUUGGAAGUGGAAAGAAUUCAAGCAAACAAAAUCUGGAACAAAGUCAUGUUUGAAGAACCAUGACUAAUGGAAGAAUUUCAAGAAAUCACACACAUGAUUUUUAUAACGAAAGAUAGAAAACUUUCUAAAACUUUGAAAUAUGUAGAGGAACAACGACGAUUUUCAAAGGGGAGCGAGGACGGAAGAAAAAUAAGAGCCUACUUUGCAGAACACGUUGGUGGACAAAUGACUGAAUUCUCUCGACACACACCCACAACUAACAUACAUCUUCAGUAGACCAUCAUCAGAGACACCCUGGCUACAAGGCUGGGCAAGGUGCUUGUUUUGUGAUCCUGAGAGAAAGGCCCAUGACCAGAGAGAUCGCCUACCUUGAUUGCUGCUUUAGAGUUGGAUUCUUCUCUCAAAUUCCUUCUUGACUCAGCAGUGGUGGCCCAUGACUGUUCCAGUCCUUGCUGAAGAGUUUGGGACGGUGAAACAGAAGUUCAAAUGGGUAAUAGUCAUGCGAUGAGUAGGUGCUUCAACCAGGAUUUGAACUCACCGUUCUAAAACUGUACCAAUGUCAAUGCACUUUGUACCCUGUGGUAGGCUGAAGAGCGCCCAAAGAUGUCCAUGUCCGACUCCUUAGAACCUGUGAAUAUGUCAUCUUAUAUGAAUGAUUAAGUGAUUGAAGACGGGAAUGCUACUCAAGGAUAUGGCUGCCUUUCACCUCACGUCAUCCGGCACACCAUCAGUGGCAGGAACCCCACUCACUCUCUGAGCCAUGCAGAGCUGGUCCAGUGAUGGUGCAACUUCUCUUUCAUUGUCUGAAUUUAUCUGCGCCCCUUCUUAUGAAUUAGUUUCUGCUAAAUCAUUUACCAAUCAACACAAGAGUUAGAAGUUAGCCCUGUUGAAGGGAUCGUGGCGGGUACGUGGAUGGGGUGGGUGCGAAGUCUCCACCCCCAAACUAAGACUAAUAACUACUCUUGAGAAUUUACUGAGUGCCAGGCUCUGGGCUAAAAUGCUUUCUGUAUAGUUUCUUAUGUGGACUUCUCAAUAACCCAUCAGAGGAGGUAUGAUUAGUCCUGUAUCCUAUAUAGUUAGAGAUGUUAGUUUGCCUAAAGUUAAACAGCCAGAACAUUCUAAAGUUGGGACAGAAACACAGGGCUGUGCAUCUCUGAAAUGCCUGUUGCCAUAGCUUCUGUGCUAAAAAGAAUGUUCAGAACCCCGUUACCAUAUGAAAUAUUCAUUUGAACAUAAUGUACCGGCUCCAUUCUCAUGGAGCAAUGUCUCAACCCAAGUGUAUGCUCAGAAACUGAGGCAGGCCAGUGGAGUCUUUGCAAUUACCCCAUGCAGGUUUUACCUGCUUUGCUUAUGUUUAGACCCAGCCUUCCCUUCAUCAUGUAAUUUUUUAUUAAAACCAAAUGGGAAUGACUGAACGUGGUACGUCUGAAAGCCAACCAGAGGACAGUAUGGUAGAUUUACUAGACAUUAACUAGAAAUAUAGGUGAAAAAUCUGACUCUUGGGGCGCCUGGGUGGCUCAGUUGUUGAGCGUCUGCCUUUGGCUCAGGGAGUGAUGCCAGGGUCUGAGCAGGAAGCCUGCUUCUCUCUUUUCCACUCCC